GCCAAGCCUAGCCCAAACAACCAUAAACUCAACUAACACAGGCACGUAAACCAAAACAUUCAAUAAAUCAUAAAAGUAUAGGAGAUAGAAAUUUGAUUUGGCGCUAUAGAGAUAGUACCGCAAGGGAAAGAUGAAAGAAUAAAUUAAAAGCACCACACAGCAAAGCUUACACCUUGUACCUUUUGCAUAAUGAAUUAGCUAGACAUAGUCUAACAAAGAGAACUUAAGCUAGACCCCCCGAAACCAGACGAGCUACCCAUGAACAAUCUUUACAGGAUGAACUCGUCUAUGUCGCAAAAUAGUGAGAAGAUUUGUGGGUAGAGGUGAAAAGCCUAUCGAGCCUGGUGAUAGCUGGUUGCCCAGAACAGAAUUUUAGUUCAACUUUAAACUUGCCUAAAAAACCCUAAAAAUUUCAAUGUAAGUUUAAAANNNAAUCUAAAAAGGUACAGCUUUUUAGAACUAGGAUACAGCCUUUAUUAGAGAGUAAGCACAAACAUAACCAUAGUUGGCUUAAAAGCAGCCACCAAUUAAGAAAGCGUUAAAGCUCAACAACCACCAUACCUUAAUACCAAAAAUACGCAACAAACUCCUAAUUUAAUACNNNNNNNNNNNNNNNNNNNNNNNNNNNNNNNNNNNNNAUAUGAGUAACAAGAAAUACUUCUCCCCGCACAAGCUUAUAUCAGAACGGAUACCCACUGAUAGUUAACAACAAGAUAUGAACAACCCAACCAUAAACCAAAUAUCCUAAGCUAACUGUUGACCCAACACAGGCGUGCACCCAGGGAAAGAUUAAAAGAAGUAAAAGGAACUCGGCAAACACAAACCCCGCCUGUUUACCAAAAACAUCACCUCUAGCAUAUCCAGUAUUAGAGGCACUGCCUGCCCAGUGACAUAAGUUAAACGGCCGCGGUAUCCUAACCGUGCAAAGGUAGCAUAAUCACUUGUUCUCUAAAUAAGGACUAGUAUGAAUGGCCACACGAGGGUUUAACUGUCUCUUACUUCCAAUCAGUGAAAUUGACCUUCCCGUGAAGAGGCGGGAAUACAACAAUAAGACGAGAAGACCCUGUGGAGCUUCAAUUAACUGACCCAAAGAGACACAAUUACAACCAACAGGGACAACAACUCUCCACAUGGGUCAACAAUUUAGGUUGGGGUGACCUCGGAGCAUAAAACAACCUCCGAGUGAUUUUAAUCUAGACUAACCAGUCAAAAGUAUUACAUCACUUAUUGAUCCAAUACACUUGAUCAACGGAACAAGUUACCCUAGGGAUAACAGCGCAAUCCUAUUUUAGAGUCCAUAUCGACAAUAGGGUUUACGACCUCGAUGUUGGAUCAGGACACCCCGAUGGUGCAGCAGCUAUCAAAGGUUCGUUUGUUCAACGAUUAAAGUCCUACGUGAUCUGAGUUCAGACCGGAGCAAUCCAGGUCGGUUUCUAUCUAUUACGCAAUCUCUCCCAGUACGAAAGGACAAGAGAAAUAAGGCCCACUUCACCAAAGCGCCCUAAGUAAAAUAGAUGAUAUAAUCUCAAUCUAAAUAACUCACACAACCCACCACCCGAGAGCCUCGGGUUU
rnacentral:rRNA from 1 species